GACGAACGCUGGCGGCGUGCCUAAUACAUGCAAGUUGAGCGCUGAAGGUUGGUACUUGUACCAACUGGAUGAGCAGCGAACGGGUGAGUAACGCGUGGGGAAUCUGCCUUUGAGCGGGGGACAACAUUUGGAAACGAAUGCUAAUACCGCAUAAAAACUUUAAACACAAGUUUUAAGUUUGAAAGAUGCAAUUGCAUCACUCAAAGAUGAUCCCGCGUUGUAUUAGCUAGUUGGUGAGGUAAAGGCUCACCAAGGCGAUGAUACAUAGCCGACCUGAGAGGGUGAUCGGCCACAUUGGGACUGAGGCACGGCCCAAACUCCUACGGGAGGCAGCAGUAGGGGAUCUUCGGCAAUGGACGAAAGUCUGACCGAGCAACGCCGCGUGAGUGAAGAAGGUUUUCGGAUCGUAAAACUCUGUUGGUAGAGAAGAACGUUGGUGAGAGUGGAAAGCUCAUCAAGUGACGGUAACUACCCAGAAAGGGACGGCUAACUACGUG
rnacentral:rRNA from 1 species